GUCCUAGCCGUAAACGGUGCACGUUUGCUGUAAAGGAAUCGACCCCUUUGUGGCGAAGCUAACGCGUUAAACGUGCCGCCUGGGAAGUACGGUCGCAAGAUUAAAACUCAAAGAAAUUGACGGGGCCUGCACAAGCGGUGGAGUAUGUGGCUCAAUUCGAUGCAACGCGAAGAACCUUACCUGGCCUUGACAUGUACGUAGUAGAAGGGUGAAAGCCUGACGACCUCCAAAAGAGGAGCGUACACAGGUGCUGCAUGGCUGUCGU
rnacentral:rRNA from 1 species